rnacentral:rRNA from 1 species
AUGAUAUGGGUUGUUGGAUUCUUGAUAGUGUUUUCGUUUCCCCCUUCUUUGGAGGCUCAUUUGAGUGAAGAAUCAGUUACUGUGGAAUGCAAAUUAACCAGCCAAUACUACUUGAGUGGGAGUGGCAACCGUUACCUGUUGCUGUUGGAGGACUCAAUGCAGCUCAUAUACUGUACCUGGAUAUCCCACUCUGAAGGUAAGGAAAACUCCAAUGCGUCCGUCCUUCCCGCGUCCAAAGUGGCCACUUCUCGCAGCGUCUUCUUCCUCACGUCGAUGGCGAGGAUCCAUGCUCUGCGGCUCUCGGCCAUUCCGUUGCCGGCAUUUUCUUCGUGA